rnacentral:rRNA from 1 species
UGGGGAAUUUUGGACAAUGGGCGCAAGCCUGAUCCAGCAAUGCCGCGUGCAGGAUGAAGGCCUUCGGGUUGUAAACUGCUUUUGUACGGAGCGAAAAGGUCUGCCCUAAUACGGUGGGCUCAUGACGGUACCGUAAGAAUAAGCACCGGCUAACUACGUGCCAGCAGCCGCGGUAAUACGUAGGGUGCGAGCGUUAAUCGGAAUUACUGGGCGUAAAGCGUGCGCAGGCGGUUAUAUAAGACAGAUGUGAAAUCCCCGGGCUCAACCUGGGACCUGCAUUUGUGACUGUAUAGCUCGAGUACGGUAGAGGGGGAUGGAAUUCAGCGUGUAGCAGUGAAAUGCGUAGAUAUGCGGAGGAACACCGACGGCGAAGGCAAUCCCCUGGACCUGUACUGACGCUCAUGCACGAAAGCGUGGGGAGCAAACA